CCAGCUCCAAUAGCGUAUAUUAAAGUUGUUGCAGUUAAAAAGCUCGUAGUUGGAUUUCUGGUGGUAGGUACCGGUCUGCCCCUCGGGGCGUGUACUUGUGUGGCCUGCUGCCAUCCUUGGGGAGAGCGUGCCUGGCAUUAGGUUGUCGGGUACGGGAUCCCCAUCCUUUACUGUGAAAAAAUUAGAGUGUUUAAAGCAGGCUUAGGCCGUUGAAUACAUUAGCAUGGAAUAAUAAGAUAGGACUUUGGUGGUCUAUUUUGUUGGUUUGCACACCAAGGUAAUGAUUAAUAGGGACAGUUGGGGAUAUCCGUAUUUCGUAGUCAGAGGUGAAAUUCUUGGAUUUACGAAAGACGAACUACUGCGAAAGCAUUUAUCAAGGAUGUUUUCAUUAAUCAAGAACGAAAGUUAGGGGAUCGAAGAUGAUUAGAUACCAUCGUAGUCUUAACCAUAAACUAUGCCGACUAGGGAUUGGCGGUCGUUACUCUUAUGACUCCGUCAGCACCUUAUGAGAAAUCAAAGUCUUUGAGUUCCGGGGGGAGUAUGGUCGCAAGGCUGAAACUU
rnacentral:rRNA from 1 species